rnacentral:rRNA from 1 species
UAGGGAAUCUUCCGCAAUGGGCGAAAGCUUGACGGAGCAACGCCGCGUGAGUGAUGAAGGUCUUCGGAUCGUAAAACUCUGUUAUUAGGGAAGAACAUAUGUGUAAGUAACUAUGCACGUCUUGACGGUACCUAAUCAGAAAGCCACGGCUAACUACGUGCCAGCAGCCGCGGUAAUACGUAGGUGGCAAGCGUUAUCCGGAAUUAUUGGGCGUAAAGCGCGCGUAGGCGGUUUUUUAAGUCUGAUGUGAAAGCCCACGGCUCAACCGUGGAGGGUCAUUGGAAACUGGAAAACUUGAGUGCAGAAGAGGAAAGUGGAAUUCCAUGUGUAGCGGUGAAAUGCGCAGAGAUAUGGAGGAACACCAGUGGCGAAGGCGACUUUCUGGUCUGUAACUGACGCUGAUGUGCGAAAGCGUGGGGAUCAAACAGG